GGAAAACUGGCNGUGUGAAUUGCAGAAUCCCGUGAACAUUCGAGUCUUUUGAACGCAAGUUGCGCCCGAGGCGAUUACGCUGAGAGGUAUGUUCUGCCUGGGUGUCACGACCGUGUUUGUCAUUAAUCCUCGGUGCACAACCGCAUGUGUGUGUGUUGGGGCGUGGCUGAGAAUGGCCUCCCGUGGUUUCCGCGGUUGGCCCAAAUCCAAAAACCCCGGUGCAUGGCGUUGUUGGCAAUGUUGGUGGUGGUUGGUUGCAACUCAUCGCUGUCGCAAUGUUGGGCAUGGGUCAAGUAGUGGAAUGGGUCUGAUGGCAAUGGGUAUUCCCCGAGCCCUCGACCGCGACCCCAGGUCAGGCGGGAUCACCCGCUGAGUUUAAUCAUAUCAUAAGCGAGAGGAAGAA
rnacentral:rRNA from 1 species